GAGCGGCGCAGUAUGUGUGUGUGUGUGUGUGUGUGCCCAUCUUUAACACAACACAGUCGGACAAGCUCCGUCUCGUAGCGAGAUACCGCCGUUCAUGCAGGUAAUGAGGAAAGACAACAGGAAGGACACACAAGAUGAUUGAAACAAUGGAUACGCAGCGUUGUCUGCAUGCCAUAGAGAGGUUACAGUCUCGCUUGAAAGAAAAGGGAGCAGACGUUCCUGCCGAGGAGAAGCUGAAUCUUCUGACGGCUGUUCUGCAGAGUCCUCUGUUUCACCAGAUCCUUGCGCUGCAGAAAUCAGUGCAGCAUCUGAAAGAGCAUGUAAGAACAAAACACAACACUGCAGGAAAAAAUACUUUGGUUUUGUUGGGCAAACAACAAACCAGUUCAAACAGAGAGAAAAAGAAUAAUUGAUUUAUUUACCCUCCAUGUAGAAAUUUCUAAGAAUAUUCAUAUAAGGUCAGGUGCAAAAAACCCAUUCUCCUCUGACCUCUAGCAUCAACAAGGCAUUUUCGCCCACAGGACUGCCGCAUACUGGAUGUUUUUCCCUUUUCACACCAUUCUUUGUAAACCAUAGAAAUGGUUGUGCGUGAAAAUCCCAGUAACUGAGCAGAUUGUGAAAUACUCAGACCGACUCGUCUGGCACCAACAACCAUGCCUCGCUCAAAAUUGCUUAAAUCACCUUUCUUUCCCAUUCUGACAUUCAGUUUGGAGUUCAGGAGAUUGUUUUGACCAGGACCACACUCCUGAAUGCAUUGAAGCUACUGCCAUGUAAUUGGUUGAUUAGAUAAUUGCAUUGAUGAGAAACUGAACAGGUGUUCCUAAUAAUCCUUUAGGUGAGUGUAUGUAUAUAUAUAUGAACCAUAUAUAUAGCACAGAAUGCUGCCUCGUGUCCUUGGUCGUUUCAGACAUGCUGACAUCUUAAGAUUUGAGUCUCAGUUGAUUAUUCAGUCAUUUGUUUUAACAGUCCGCUUUGAAUCCUUGCUGCCCUGAUCUGAGCUGAUUGAGAUUACGUGAUUAUUCAAAUCACAAACAAUGAAAAAAAUACUGGAAAAUAUUCAUAAGUAAGGCACAGCUUAAUUAUUUAGGGAGAAGCUUCGCUGGUUGGGCAGAUUUGGGGGUUUUUGAGCUUUGUGUGUUCAUGGAGAGUUUGGCACCGGCAGCCGUUUGGUCUGAAGUAUGCGAGUUAUGCUGGAACAGAGGAAUGGAGAUUACCAGAUCCCCAGGGCCUUGCCUCUCGCUCUCUUCACUCAUAUACUUAUGAACUGCAGAGUGGAACGAUGUUAACAGCCCGUGUGGAAGAAGGAAACCAUCUAAUGUCAGUCUAAAAGUUAUGGACUCGUAUAGAACACAGCUAAUAACCCUUUUGAAAAAAGUGCCCUUAACUGUAUAGAAUGUGCACUUGUAGUGUACUUCAAAUCUUGAGUGUGUUUUUAUAAAACUACACUUGCAGAUAAUAUAAUAGUGUUCAUGAACACUUCUCUUUUGCCGAGAUAAUCCAUCCACCUCACAGGUGUGGCAUAUCAAGAUGCUGAUUAGACAGCAUGAUUAUUGCACAGGUGUGUCUUAGGCUGGCCACAAUAAAAGGCCACUCUAAAAUGUGAAGAUUUACUUUAUUGGUGGGGUCCGGGGGGCCGAAAACCAAUCAGUAUCUGGUGUGACCAUCAUUUGCCUCAUGCAGUGCAACACAUCUCCUUCACAUAGAGUUCCCGUGGGAUGUUGGUCCACUACUCUUCAAGGGCUGUGCGAAGUUGCUGGAAAUUGGCAGGAAUUGGAACACGCUGUAGUAUACGCUGAUCCAGAGCUUCCCAAACAUGCUCAACGGGUGACAUGUCUGGUGAGUAUGCUGGCUAUGCAAGAACUGGGAUGUUUUCAGCUUCCAGGAAUUGUGUACAGAUCCUUACAACAUGGGGCUGUGCAUUAUCAUGCUGCAACAUGAGGUGAUCGUGUGGAUGAAUGGUACAACAAUGGGCCUCAGGAUCUUGUCACGGUAUCUCUGUGCUUUCAAAAUCCCAUCAAUUAAAUGCACCUGUGUUCGUUGUUCAUAACAUACACUUGCCCAUGCCAUAACCCCACCGCCACCAUGGGCCACUCGAUAUACAAUGUUGACAUCAGCAAAUCGCUCACCCACACAACGCCAUACACACUGUUUGCGAUCUGCCCUGUACAGUGAAAACCGGGAUUCAUCCGUGAAGAAAACACCUCUCCAAAGUGCCAGACACCAUUGAUUGUUGCAAACUGAUUGUUGCAGCAGCUGUCCGGGUGGCUGGUCUCAGACGAUCUUGGAGGUGAAGAUGCUAGAUGUGGAGGUCCUAGGCUGGUGUGGUUAAACACCUGUGGUUGUGAGGCCUCUUGGAUGUACUGCCAAAUUCUCUGAAACACCUUUGGAGAUGGCUUAUGGUAGAGAAAUGAACAUUCAAUUCACAGGCUACAGCUCUGGGGGACAUUCCUGCAGUCAGCAUGCCAAUUGCAUGCUCCCUCAAAACUUGCAACAUCUGUGGCAUUGUGUGGUGUGAUAAAACAGCACGUUUUAGAGUGGCCUGUUAUUGUGGCCAGUAGUGUUGUCAAAAGAUCCGGUACUUCGGUACCAAGUCGGUACUAAAAAGUACCUUUAAAAAGUACAGACAGCACCGAGGACUCGGUCAACCCGGUUCUUGACGCAUACAGCGCUAUGAUUUCUGUGAAUCAGAAAAUGCGGACGGAAUCUCAAAAUGAAACCUACAUUUUAAUAUGGACAGUCACAGAAUUCGUAAAGUUAGCAUAAAUUAAUCAAAUCAAAUCUCAAUAUGGACUAGUAUCUGUAAAUCUGUAAACCGCUGAUUUUCACUGGUAUCGUAAAUUUGUUACUUAGGCAAAGGUAAACAUCGCGAUUGCUUUAGCAAACACCUUUAAUAACCUGAGAAGUUUUUUUUGGUCCACACUAACCUGCAGGGUUGUUUAUGCCAACUGCUGGCGUCUGGCUCUGUCUGUGCUGCUAUAGUUACCAGAAUACAGAGAGAGAGAGAGAGAGAGAGAGAGAGAGACAUGAGUUCAUGUGUGAAGUGGAGCAGAAGUCAUUUUUGAAACGUGGAUGAGCCAUACUGGAGGCCUAAUCCUCUUACAUGGGAAGACUAACAAACACACGCUCUCGCAGAGCUGACAUAGUUUAGAGCGCAUUCAAAGCUUGUGCACGACCAGCAACCGAGCCUGGAGUCUGCGGCUGUUAAUCUGAAGAGCCUCUGGGAGACGUUUAUGAACAUUAAUGUUUACUGCGUAGUCUGAAGAGCGGCCGUUCGUGUGGAGAAGAGCCACAUAAAACCUGCAGAACCUGACAUAGUUUGUUAAAGAGACAGUUCACCCAAAAAAAUUACAAUUCUGUCAUCAUUUACUCUCCCUGAUGUCGUUCCAAACCUGUAUGAGUUUCUUUCUUCUGUUAACCACAAAAACAAAAAACAAAAAACAAAACACAUUUUGAAGAAUGCUGGAAACCAAACAGUUGACGGAAGCCAUUGACUACCAUAGUAUGGCAUAGGGAUGCACAAUAUUAGAUUUUUGCCAAUAUCUAAUAUGCCAGUAUUUUUCAACUCAUUUGGCCGAUGCCGAUAUAUUUCAUUUUGUUUUUCC
rnacentral:lncRNA from 1 species